AUACGUAGGGGGCGAGCGUUGUCCGGAAUGAUUGGGCGUAAAGGGCGCGUAGGCGGCCCGGUAAGUCUGGAGUGAAAGUCCUGUUUUUAAGAUGGGAAUUGCUUUGGAUACUGUCGGGCUUGAGUGCAGGAGAGGUAAGUGGAAUUCCCAGUGUAGCGGUGAAAUGCGUAGAGAUUGGGAGGAACACCAGUGGCGAAUGCGACUUACUGGACUGUAACUGACGCUGAGGAGCGAAAGUGUGGGGAGCAAACAGGAUUAGAUACCCUGGUAGUCCCCACUGUAAACGAUGAAUGCUAGGUGUAGGGGGUAUCGACCCCUUCUGUGCCGCAGUCAACACAAUAAGCAUACCGCCUGGGGAGUACGGCCGCAAGGUUGAAACUCAAAGGAAUUGACGGGG
rnacentral:rRNA from 1 species